UACGUAGGGGGCAAGCGUUGUCCGGAUUUAUUGGGCGUAAAGAGCGUGUAGGCGGCCAGGUAGGUCCGUUGUGAAAACUGGAGGCUUAACCUCCAGCUGUCGAUGGAAACCAUCUGGCUAGAGUCCGGAAGAGGAGAGUGGAAUUCCUGGUGUAGCGGUGGAAUGCGCAGAUAUCAGGAGGAACACCAAUAGCGAAGGCAGCUCGCUGGGACGUUACUGACACUGAGGCGCGAAAGCGUGGGGAGCGAACAGG
rnacentral:rRNA from 1 species